rnacentral:rRNA from 1 species
AAUCCAUAGGUUAAUGAGGCGAACCGGGGGAACUGAAACAUCUAAGUACCCCGAGGAAAAGAAAUCAACCGAGAUUCCCCCAGUAGCGGCGAGCGAACGGGGAGGAGCCCAGAGCCUGAAUCAGCAUGUGUGUUAGUGGAAGCGUCUGGAAAGGCGCGCGAUACAGGGUGACAGCCCCGUACACAAAAGCGCAUGUGCUGUGAGCUCGAUGAGUAGGGCGGGACACGUGGUAUCCUGUCUGAAUAUGGGGGGACCAUCCUCCAAGGCUAAAUACUCCUGACUGACCGAUAGUGAACCAGUACCGUGAGGGAAAGGCGAAAAGAACCCCGGCGAGGGGAGUGAAAAAGAACCUGAAACCGUGUACGUACAAGCAGUGGGAGCACCCUUUGGGGUGUGACUGCGUACCUUUUGUAUAAUGGGUCAGCGACUUAUAUUCUGUAGCAAGGUUAACCGUAUAGGGGAGCCGGAGGGAAACCGAGUCUUAACCGGGCGUUAAGUUGCAGGG